CAAUAGCGUAUAUUAAAGUUGUUGCAGUUAAAAAGCUCGUAGUUGGAUUUCUGUUCUCGAGGAUCGGUCCGCCUCACGGUGAGCACUGGUUUUUCUUGGGGACAUCCUCUCGAAGGCGGGUGGUGCACUUAAUUGUGUGCUGCUUGGAUUCGGGACCUUUACCUUGAGAAAAUUAGAGUGUUUCAGGCAGGCUAGGCCGGAAUACAUUAGCAUGGAAUAAUAAGAUAGGACCGCGUGGUCGUCUUGUUGGUUUGCACCGCGAGGUAAUGAUUAAUAGGUACAGUUGGGGGUAUUCGUAUUUAAUUGUCAGAGGUGAAAUUCUUGGAUUUAUGAAAGACGAACUUCUGCGAAAGCAUUUACCAAGGAUGUUUUCAUUAAUCAAGAACGAAAGUUAGGGGAUCGAAGACGAUCAGAUACCAU
rnacentral:rRNA from 1 species